UAAUCAGUUCGUACUGAACAGCGAAACCGUCAACACAUUGUGUUGGAACUCGCAACGGGUUCGAAAUGUAAGAGCUCUGCCAAGGAGAUAUAAUCACUGUCUGUUGCCGAUAAAAAAAACAUUUGUGAGGAUUUCCGUAUUGGUUUACGACUGUUAUUGGCGAUGUUUCUCUAGUUUCACUAGUAAUGGCUUCCGUUCUGGGGUGUACGUCUAAGAAAACCAUUUAUCAACCACUGGGCUGAAAAAAAAACGGUCAGCUAUGAAGACCUGGAAAUUGUGAUGGAUAGUUGAGAAGAGGUGAAGAGGAGAGCAGUUAAACGGAUUUGGCAUGGCUUUUGUUUUAAAUGGUGAGCUCACUAAGCUUUUCGUUUGGUUUAUAGACCCCGUUCUACAUUCUGCUAUACGCAUCCGACAUCGACGUGCCAAAAAUUAUUGACAAGAUUCUUGCAGCAAUCUCGUGGAUUUACUUUUCAUAAUAUAAACGACUCGGUUUAUGACAUUUUUUCUUGCAGCCGUCGUGGACGGAUUGACUUGCGUAAAAAAAGGCAAACUAUAAUAUUACGUAUUUUAUGUACAGUCUAAUGCCACUGCAGACCUUAACAAUGAUAAAUUCAUUUUUCUGCUUCUCUUUUUCCUCAUCUCUCUCUCGCUCUCUCUCUCUAUUUCUAUAUCCCUCACUAUCUCUCGUCUUCUAUCAACAUUAUACGAUAACAAUACAUAUGUACUCAAACUGGUAUAAAGUGUAUUUCGUUUUCCUCGCGUUCGCUAUUGCUGUCGUCGUCCGACGACGUAUUGUUGUGUUCUACAUCACAUAUAGGGUAUUAUAAAACGAACGUGUACUAAUAUAAUAUAUAUUAUUUGGUUUAUAAGUAUGAAGAUAGUGCAUUUUACUGUAUGAAUUUGUAACGUAUUUUUCAUUAUCUUUCUCUCAAUCUCAUUCCAUUGUUUCUGUCCGUUAUUUUUCUGUGAUAUUAAACAGAUUAUCAAUCUGAUUAGCAAAAAAAAAAAAAAAUGAAAAAGAUACGCAGCUG